GCAAUGCCGCGUGAGUGAAGAAGGCCUUCGGGUUGUAAAGCUCUUUUGUCAGGGAAGAAACGGUGCUCUCUAAUACAGAGCGCUAAUGACGGUACCUGAAGAAUAAGCACCGGCUAACUACGUGCCAGCAGCCGCGGUAAUACGUAGGGUGCAAGCGUUAAUCGGAAUUACUGGGCGUAAAGCGUGCGCAGGCGGUUUUGUAAGUUUGUCGUGAAAUCCCCGGGCUCAACCUGGGAAUGGCGAUGAAGACUGCAAGGCUAGAGUUUGGCAGAGGGGGGUAGAAUUCCACGUGUAGCAGUGAAAUGCGUAGAUAUGUGGAGGAACACCGAUGGCGAAGGCAGCCCCCUGGGUCAAAACUGACGCUCAUGCACGAAAGCGUGGGGAGCAAACAGGAUUAGAUACCCUGGUAGUCCACGCCCUAAACGAUGUCUACUAGUUGUCGGGUUUUAAUUAACUUGGUAACGCAGCU
rnacentral:rRNA from 1 species